AUUGAACGCUGGCGGCAGGCUUAACACAUGCAAGUCGAGCGAGCGGCGGACGGGUGAGUAAUGUCUGGGAAACUGCCUGAUGGAGGGGGAUAACUACUGGAAACGUUAGCUAAUACCGCAUACCAUCAGAUGUGCCCAGAUGGGAUUAGCUAGUAGGUGGGGUAAUGGCUCACCUAGGCGACGCUCCCUAGCUGGUCUGAGAGGAUGACCCGCAAAACUGGAACUGAGACAGGGUCCAGACUCCUACGGGAGGCAGCAGUGGGGAAUAUUGGACAAUGGGCGCAAGCCGGAUGCAGCCAUGCCGCGGGUGUGAAGAGGGCCUUCGAGUUGUAAAGCACUUUCAGCGAGGAGGCGUUACUCGCAGAAGAAGGACCGGCUAACUCCGUGCCAGCAGCCGCGGUAAUAC
rnacentral:rRNA from 1 species